rnacentral:lncRNA from 1 species
CAAACAAAGAAGAAAUCGUGGCUGUUGCAGAAGCCAAAAUCCGCAGCCCGCCGAGCCCAAUGAAUGAAUUCAUCUCCCUGGUCUGCUGCUGGGAGAAGCAGCUCACUCAGUGUGAGAAUACCGGGCAGCGAAGUCUGACCCACCGACACUAGAACCCAGUUCUGCCAGGUUCCACCAAGGCAUUUGGGCUCGGAGCCUCAUUGUUCUCACCUGUGAAAUGGGUGGCAUUGUGCCCCAGCACACAGUGGGCGCUCAGUCAGCUGCCUUGGCUGCCUCCCCAGAUAGCGGUGGGUGUCCCUUAGAGGAUCGUGGCCCGUCAGGUCCACCCAUCCAGACCAGCUUCCAGGAGGCCACAGGCUCCAAAGUGAUUGUCGCUGUGGGAGACGGAAGCUCUACCCUGCGAGGUGAGUGCUCCCCAGCCCAGAGGGAAGUCAUCAAGACCUUGCACCCAGAGUCCCUUCUGAGCUGCCAGCUGCAGUUCCAGCAGGCCGUCUCCGAUUUCCCAGCACGUGAUGUUCUCACCGUGGAGCCAGGCUUCGAUGCUGCUCUGGAAUGGAGAGCAAGAAGACCCUGAGCUGCCCGGAUCUUGACAACAGGGAGUGGAGGUUGGCCAGGUGCGGCCGUGUUGCUUGCUCUCUGCGCUUCACCAUUGGCCGCCACCACCACCUUGUUUGCCUGUUCGCGGCGGAUCCUUUGGGCUGGCAGGAAGGGGUGAAGUUGCGACGUCUCUUGCACGACACUCUCGUGCCCAUGUCGGCCUCCAUAGAGCUCAUCCUGGUGGAGGACGUGAGGCUGAGUCCAGAAGAGGUGACCACCUACAACCACCCUGGCAUCCAGGUACGGCCCUUGCCCUGCCACUGCCCUACCGGGGUGAGACCCACCAGGGGCGCCUCGCCUCCAACACGCAGCCCAACCCCUCCCUGUCUCUCCCUCCUGCAGGCGGAGCUGCCCAUCAGAGAAGGCACGAGACACUUCCUCAACACAGCACUGCAGACGUCGUCACGGUGGCCUCCCUGGAGGCCAGGGGAGUCGCCCUGGUGGGUUGGCUUUAGUUUCUCACCCAGGCCACUGUGUGGUGAGUGGAUUGACUAUUGGAAAAGCUGGCACUUAGUCACACCAGCUAUAACCAGCAGGGUCUUCAGAAUCUCCGCUUCAUUCAGCAACUUUGGUCAUCGCCGUGCCGCCUCUGUGAGUUUCAUUCCACAUCCACACACUACUCCCACUAUUAGUUACCUAAUGGUUUCCUUUCGAUCCAUCUUUUAA